rnacentral:ncRNA from 2 species
UUGAAAAAUGCGGGAGAGACCAAUAAUUGGCGCCGAAGGGGUAAGUCAUUAAGUUUGCCGCUUUUGAUGAAACUCUCAGGCAAAAGGACCGUAUUUGGACA